GCCUUAGUAACUGCGAGUGAAGCGGCAAAAGCUCAAAUUUGAAAUCUGGCGUCUUUGACGUCCGAAUUGUAAUUUGGAGAGACAUCUUCGGAGUAGACGCCGUCCUAAGUUCCUUGGAACAGGACGUCACAGAGGGUGAGAAUCCCGUGCCUGGAUGGCUGUUCUACUUCAUGUGAAGUGUCUUCGACGAGUCGAGUUGUUUGGGAAUGCAGCUCAAAAUGGGAGGUAAAUUUCUUCUAAAGCUAAAUAUUGGCGAGAGACCGAUAGCGCACAAGUAGAGUGAUCGAAAGAUGAAAAGCACUUUGAAAAGAGAGUUAAAAAGUACGUGAAAUUGUUGAAAGGGAAGCGCUUGAGACCAGACUCGAUCAGUGGUGAUCAGCGGUGCUUCUGUACCGUGCACUUGCCAUUGAUUGGGCCAGCAUCGGUUUAGACGGCGGGAUAAAGACCUAAGGAAUGUGGCUCCUCUCGGGGAGUGUUAUAGCCUUGGGUGCAAUGCCGCCAGUUUGGACCGAGGACCGCGCUUCGGCUAGGAUGCUGGCGUAAUGGUCUUCAGCGACCCGUCUUGAAACACGGACCAAGGAGUCUAACAUCUAUGCGAGUGUUCGGGUGGAAAACCCUUGCGCGUAAUGAAAGUGAACGGAGGUGAGAACACUUCGGUGUGCAUCAUCGACCGAUCCAGAUGUCUUCGGAUGGAUUUGAGUAUGAGCAUAGCUGUUGGGACCCGAAAGAUGGUGAACUAUGCCUGAAUAGGGUGAAGCCAGAGGAAACUCUGGUGGAGGCUCGCAGCGGUUCUGACGUGCAAAUCGAUCGUCAAAUUUGGGUAUAGGGGCGAAAGACUAAUCGAACCAUCUAGUAGCUGGUUCCUGCCGA
rnacentral:rRNA from 1 species